GGGAAAUAGCCGCCAAUUAUGCAACACUGAUGUUCCUGUAUUGAAUGAAGGCUGUAUAGUAGUUGGGAAUCAUGAAGAAGUAUUUCAAGUUCAAGGCGGGUACUCGUUCUCAAGCAUAAAAAAAUUGAAAUUGAGGAAUUUAUUUGAAGCACGGGUUAUAUGGAACGAUUUUGCUCAAGUUGUAACCCUUGAGAACCUUACAACUCUAACACUGAGUGAUUGCAAGAAGCUAAGAUAUAUUUUUUCACCUAUGAUGGCUCGCAGUUUAUCACAUUUGGUGGAUCUUUUCAUCGAGGGGUGUGAGGAAAUAGAACGAAUCAUUUUAGCCAAGGAUCAAGUUUCUUCAUCAUCAUCAAAUGGUGAUACUAGCCACCAACCUAAGAGCUUUCGAAAUUUGACUCGGAUCACUGUUACAAAUUGUAAAAAUUUGAACAGUCUCUUUCCUUUUGGAUUAUUUCCUGUUCUUUCAAAGCUUGAAAGUCUCAUAGUUGAAAGGAAUUCUAAAUUGGAACAAGUAUUCGAAUUAGAAGAAAAAGUGGAAGUGGUAGCUAAAGAGAAGAUGAAAUUUUAUAACUUAGAAAGGUUAUUACUUGAAGAACUACCUGGCCUCAUUCAGUUUUGUCCCAAAGGAUAUCAUUUUGUAUUCCCAAAAAUGAUGGAGUUGAAAGUAAGAGAUUGCCCUAAGUUAACUACUGGUUUCUUCAUUGAUUCACAGGCAUUUGUACAUUGCAAAACAAAGGUAUAUAUCCUACAACCCUUUAUUCCUACUUUAUUCUAUGUAAUUAUAACAAUUACAACUAAAGGCAUAACAUGCAAAAUUUUUAAUUAAAUUCCUUAAGUGUAUAUGCGUUUCAUAUUUUUUUCCUUGAUGACAUGAGAUUAAAGUUUUAGUUAUAAUUGUUUCUUUAAUUGAUUUCUAAGGUACCUUAUUUGGUUGAGCAAGAUGCGGUUGAAGAAUCUACCACUGUUCAAAAUGCAAUUUUCAACGAGAAUAUAGAUUGGAGCCGAUGGUUGCGUAAGAGUCAACUACCACACAUUACAUGAAAGAAUGGAUGAUUUUAGGGUAGCUUUCAGAGCCAUGUUACAUCAGUAGGUGGAGCAAUGUUGCUAAGAUGUUUUUAGUUAAUUGUCUGAUAUAAUUUGUGUAUGAUAGAACAUGACCUUUACCGGCGUUUUCCCACAAACGUCGCUAUAAAACAUGACAUGUAGCGAUGCUUUUCCGACAAACGUAACUAAAAAACAUGACCUUUAAAAAAAAUUUAAUUAAAUAAUAUUUAUUUCUAUGAUAAAAUAUUUUAUUUUGUUUUAUUUUUAAAAUUUAAACUUUAAACUAUAUACUAAAUAAAAAAAUAUUAAUUAAAUUAAAUUUUCUAUUAAAAUUUUAACUUUAAAACUAAAUAUAAAAAUUAAUAAAUUGAAAUUUAGAAUUUAAAUAUUAUGUUUUUAAUUCAAAGUUCAACUUUUGGCACACCUUACAAACAUGGGCUCUAAACAAGGAGAAAGAUUGCAUCUCGGGCACAAAAAUCAAAACAGUACAAAGGUAAUAUCUUCAAUAAUUUUACCGAUAAUAUCGAUACGGUAUAAUUUUAUCAAUAUUUAUGUAAUGACCUAAUAUUGCCCGGUCCAAUAUAAAAUAAUAAAACAACCCAAUUUAUUUUUACAAACCCAAAUUUAAAGCCCAAACUCACUACCUAAUAUAGACUCUAACCCAAAACACUAAACCUAAAACUCAAAUUAACCCCGAGCCCAAUAAAGUAAACCUAGUUAAACCUAGCCCUGUAAACAAACUAAGCCUGCAGAAACCCUAGCCUACAAGCCUCCAGCGCGCCGCUCCUUCCCCACGUGAGCCUCUGCCUCCAGAUUGGUUGCAUCCUUGCAAAGAAAUAACAGAAUAAUAGAAAAAUAAUUAGAGAAAAUAGCAAAUUUGUAAAACGGAUACUGGAUACGAAAAUAUAAAAAACAAAUCAACUAGCUUUGUUAUUUCAAGAUGAUUUUUCAGAUUCUAUCUUUUUUUUUUUUUGCUCUUGGUUUUAUCAUCUUUUUAUUAAAAUAUAAAACGAAAGGAAGGAGGAGAGAAGAUUUACCUCUACUAGUCCGCCGUCGGCCUUUGUCUGCUCUGUUAAUAUCAGAGUUGAAGGGGCUGUUGUUUCGGCUGGGAACGGCGGAGAGAGGAUAGCCUAGGGUUUGGUUUUAUUUUCCUUAGAAGUGAAAAAAUAAUUCUGAUUAGGUUUUGGUUUGGGAUUUUAUAAAGUAAUAAAAACGACAUCGUUUGAGACCUGCUUCAGUGGCCCCAAAACGGCAUCGUAUAAGAGCAUACCCGACUGACCCGACCCAGAGGCGGCUGAGAUCCGCGUGUUGUGGCCCUGCUAGGGUUAUUUUCGAAUUUGGUCCUCCCUCUUUCAUAGUGAUUUCGAAUCAGUUUUUCUUUAUUUGUAAAUUCCAUACUGCAUUUUGCUUUUGUUUCAUUUUGGCCCAGGCUGUACGUCGCGUUUUGGAGGGACAGGGGUUAUUUCCCCAUUGGUCCCCCAUAUUAUUAGCACACUGCAUUUUGUCCCCUCGAUUUUAUUUUAUUUGCGAAUUUUCUCUUUAAUUUGGUUUCAAAUCCAAUUUAAUCUUAUUUUUUUUAUUGGAUUAAAUGCAUAUUGUUUUCUAUAUAUUUAGUUUUAAAUCAAAUAUUUCCAUAUGGUUUAAGAUUAGUGAUAUUAUUUGAAUUUAUCACCAAAAUCAUUAACAUUGUUUAUAUUUAUCUUUGUAGUUGUUUUUUUAUUUAUCAUAUAUUACAAUUUUAAGUUUUCGUUUAUUAUUACUUAGAUUUAACAUAUUUUAUGAUUCGUAUAUUCUUUUGAUAUAGUUUUUUUAAUCUUUUAUUUAUUUUUUUAAAUUCUCUUUUAUAUUCCUAUAUUCCAAAAGUUAUAAUAAUACUUUCAUACCAUACUAUCAUAUACAUGCAAUUUUGAUUUUUUUUUUUAUUUCAUGAACAGAUUAUUGUUUUCCUAUUAUUAUAAGGGCAAACUACCAAAAAUAGUUACUUUUGUUUGCCCUAGGUUACAUUUUAGUCACUUAUGUUUGGAAUAUUACUUUUUAGUCACUUACGUUAUCGUGUUGUAACAUUUUAGUCACUGAGUCGUUAAUUGCCAACAAUGGUGUAACGGUAAGCUGAUGUGGCAUGUUAAAUCAUCAUUUCAAACAAAAAUUUUAGGUUAAAUUCUACAAUUGGUCCCUAUAUUUUUUCAUUUUAAACAAUUUUAAAAUUUUCUUUUAAGUUCUUUUAAAAAAUUUUUCCAUUCUCUUUUGCUUCUACCUCUAUUUUCCUCCCUUCUUCAUUUCUUUUAACAUAGUUUUUCUAUGUUUUCCAUUUGUAACUAGUCCACAAGCUCGCCUCACUCAAAUUCAUUUUUAUGUUCAUAAAAUAAUUAAUAUUUCAACCUUUUUUUAAAAGUUAUUUAUAGUUCAUUUAUUUUAAAAUUGAAUCAGCAAUUAGAAUUCUAUCACUCUCAUCGGCUAUUACCAUGAGUAUUGUAUUUUUAUUUUUUUAAUAGUCAUAAUUAUUUAUUUUAAAGUGGUUGGAGUAUCACAGUUGCGAAAUAUGAUAAAUACAUUUCUUUACAUAUGUUUUGAUAAAGAAAUUCUUUAAAACUUUGCUUAUUUCCAUUCUCAUGCACACAAAGUCACACACCUUUGUUUUGUUUCAUACUCUUCUUUUUCUUCUCUUUCACAUGCUUGCUUUUACGUAUCACAUAUAUAUGAAACCUAUUUAUAGGCUUAUAAAAUGCAUUAUGAAUUGUUCUCUCAUUUUUAUUUAGAUUUUAACUAUUGAAAUAUGUGUUUGCAAACACUUUAUCUCAGGGAUUUCCAUUGUUGGAAUCUAUUUACCUAAGUAACUGCCCUCAACUACUACAUGUCUUCAAGGUCAGUUUGAUAUUGUUAACUUACAAUAUGUUUUGUAUAAUUAGGAAUUUCCUUUAGAUUGCUAACUUACAAGGUCAGUUUGAUAUUGUUAAAAAAACUCACAUUUUAGUGUCAAAGGAAGUAUUCAUUCUCUAGAGCACUAAAUUGAUAUGGAGACCUGUUCCAUAUUUAUUAUAUUGGCAACUUAUUGAAUGACUUUUAUGGGGUAUGAUUGAGUCUAUGAUUGAUAUCUAGACCAUUUUAGAAGAUCAUAUCACUUAAGAGAUUAUCUUUUGGAGAUUGAAUUGAUUUGAAAUUACCUAAGAUAAUCCCUUGAAUCAUGGACUUUGAUUUGGUUUGUGAUUCUAUCUAUGGUUGAAUCAUGUUUGUAAUCUCCUUGUGACGAGGACACCAAUGUAACUUGGAUACCACUUAUUGGAAGUGUAGUAGUGACUAAGGAAAUUAACUUUUAUUACUCAAAACAAAUAUACUUACACAAAAUACAAAUAUAUUUUCCCCUCUCUCAAUUUCUAGUUACCACUAGUUAUACACUCACAAUUCACUCUUUGCGUAUUUCCGCUAUUGUGCACACAAACUCACACACAUUUCUUUCAUUUCUUACUCUUUCUUUUUCUUCAUAUCACAAAUAUAUGAAACCUUAUUAUAGGCUCAAAAACCACCUCAUCAAUUGCCACCUCUCUCAUUUUAUGUUUAUUUUAUUUAUUUAUUUAUUUAUGUAUAAGCCUUCAAUUAAUUCCAUGCCACCUUGACUUUUGCCCAUGGAUUGCCCACUUAUAAGGUUUGUUUGACUUCAACACAAUUUACAUGAUAGAAGAAUGUAAUUAUUUAUAUAGAAGGAAAUUCUAUCUUUUAUUUAAUUUAUAAUAAUGCUUUAAUAUUUUUAUAAUUUAAAAUAAAUAUUUGCAUUUAAGUUGCUAAUGAUGUUUUAGUCUAAUAACAAAAAUAUUAUAUCGUAGAUAUGAACAAACAAUUUCGUUCUGCAUUCCUAAUUAUAAAAAAUAAAUUUAAUUUUCUUUAUUUCGAUUGUGCGUUUUAUAAACAGCUAUAAAAGAAACUAAAAGAAACUAAGCAGCAUAUACGUGUUUUUAUAUUUUAUCUUUUAAUUAAUAAUCUAUUUUUAUAUUGAUAUGCUCAAUUUUUUAUAAUAAAAGAAAUAACUUACUAAGAUGUGUGUUUGAAACAUGUAGAAUGACUCUUCUCUUUGUUGUUGGCCGAAAUUGAGGAGUCUUCGCAUACAAUUUUGCCCAAAUUUGAAAUAUGUUUGUGCGACCACUUGGACUCAAGGGCUUCAAUCCUUGGAAUAUGUUUACAUAACAGAAUGUUCUCAACUUAUACAAGUCUUCAACAUGGAGCAAAAUAAGCAUGGACAAGAUAUUGUGCUUCCUGAACUUGGGUCACAGGUACUUCUGUAUUUACAUUUUUAAAGCUGAGCAAAGAGUUGAAAAAAUUGAAAGUUAAUAUGAAUUGUAGUGUUCAAUUCAAUUUUUUUAUUGAGUUUAAAUCAAAUAAAACAUGCACGUACCAUAUGACAACCAUUUAAAAAUAUAAAAAGUUAUAAUUUAAAAAUUAAAUUACAACUAUAUGUUUUUAAAAUUAGUAUAUCAAAUUAAUUUAUAAAUUUUUAUUAUCAAAUACUAAUAUACUGUAAUAUUCAUAUUAUAAAUAGUAAAAAUUAAAAUAGAGAAAUAUUAUAUAUUUAUUUUCUAUUGAUGUUAAGCUUUAAUAUAUUUAUUUAUAUUUUAUAUUUAUUUAAUAUAAUAAUGAUUAUUUAAAUUAUAUUUUAGAAAAUUAUUAAAUUAAUUUACCAUUAAAUGAUUUUUUUUGCAAGGCUACCGUAUUUUAAUUUGAUAAUUUAUGUGAGAUAUUAAAACAGUGAGAUAUUAAUUUACCAUUAAAUAGUUUAUGAUUAUUUAAAUAUAAUUAUUUAAAUUAUAUUUUGAGAUAUUUGUUUUAGAAAAUGCAUCAAGAAUUGUUGUCUCUCAUUUUUAUUUAGAUUUUAUCUAUUUAUAGAAAAACUUUUAAUUAAUUCCAUGCCACUUAUUCUACCUUUAGAUUGCUAACUUACAAGGUCAGUUUGAUAUUGUUGAAAAAUAUCAAACUCGCAUUAUUUUAAUGUCAAAGGAAGUAUUCAUUCCCUAAAGCACCAAAUUGAUAUGGAGACCUUUGAGUUAUCUUUUGGAGAUUGGAUUAAUUUAAAAGCCCAAGACAAUCUCUUGGAUCAUAGACUUUGAGUUAGCUUAUUGCUUUUUUGGGGAGACACCAUGUGCAUCUAACCAUUGGUAUGCUAAAAGAAACUAAGCUGCAUAUACAUGUUUUUAUAUUUUAUCUUUUAAUUAAUAAUCUAUUUUUAUAUUGUUAUGCUCAAUUUUUUUAUAAUAAAAUAAAUAACUUACUAAGAUGUCUGUUUGAUACAUGUAGAAUGACUCCCCUCUUUGUUGUUGGCCGAAAUUGAGGAUUCUUCACAUAGAAUUUUGCCCAAAAUUGAAAUAUGUUUGUGCAAACACUUGGACUCGAGGGCUUCAAUCCUUGGAAUCUGUUUUCAUUAGAGAUUGUUCUCAACUUAUACAAGUCUUCAACAUGGAACAAAAUAAGCAUGGACAAGAUAUUGUGCUUCCUGAACUUGGAUCACAGGUACUUCUGUAUUUACAUUUUUAAGGCUGAGCAAAGACUUGAAAAAAUUGAAAAUUAAUUUGAAUUGUAGGGUUCAAUUCAAUUUUUUAUUGAGUUUAAAUCAAAUAGAACAUGCACGUACCAUAUGACAACCAUUUAAAAAUAUAAAAAGUUAUAAUUUAAAAAUUAAAUUACAACUAUAUGUUUUUAAAAUUAGUAUAUCAAAUUAAUUUAAAAUUUUUAUUAUCAAAUACUAAUAUACUAUAAUAUUCAUAUUAUAAAUAAUUCAUGCAUAAUUAUAAAUAGUAAAAAUUAAAAUAGAGAAAUAUUAUAUAUUUAUUUUCUAUUGAUGUUAAGAUUUAAUAUAUUUAUUUAAUAUAGUAAUGAUUAUUUAAAUUAUAUUUUAGAAAAUUGUUAAAUUAAUUUACCAUUAUAUGAUUUGUUUUUGCAAGAUUACCAUAUUUUAAUUUGAUAAUUCAUGUGAGAUAUUAAAACAGUGUUUGUAUAAAUAUAUAUUGAUAUCAUUGUAGAAUGAAUUUAUUUGAGUAGUGGUUAGUUCUACCUAAUAAAUAUUAUUUGAUGGCAAGAAUUUUGGUAAAUUUAACUAAUAAAUAUUGAUAUCAUUGACGGAAUUGAGGUGCAUAUGGAAUGAAUCGAAUCAUUGCGUUAACCUCUAUAGUCUGAUGACUAUUAGAAUAACUUAUCAAAGUCCAUUUUUAGAUAUUAAUAUUUUUAUUCAAAACUUCGGGUUGGAUUAAAAAAAAUUGUUUUCAUAAUUCUUUGAUUUAAAAGUUGAACGAGUAUCAGAGUUCAAUCUCUCUCAUCGACUUUUACAAUGAAUAUUGUAUUUUUAUAUUUUAAUUGUCAUGAUUAAUGAUUUUGAAGUGGUUGGGGCAUCACAGUUUCAAAAUAUAAUAAAUGUAUCUCUUUAUAAUUGGUACAUUCAAAGAUCAAUUGAUUUCUUUUUCUUAUGUUUUGGUAAAGAAAUUCUUUAAAAAUUAAAUUAUGUUUAAUAAAUCAUAUUCCUCAUUUUUAUUUAAACAAAUAUAUUUUGUAUAAUAUUUAAUUAUGUGGCUCAUUCAUGUAGAAUCAUUGCUGGACAAAACUGAAAACUCUCCAGAUAGAGGAUUGCCAACUAUUGAAAUAUGUGUUUGCAAACACUUUAUCUCAGGGAUUUCCAUCGUUGGAAUCUCUUUACCUAAAGAAUUGCCCUCAACUACUACAAGUCUUCAGUUCGACAGAAGAAAGGGAUGUGAUUGGUGAUCACAUUCUACUUAAUGUGCCCUUUCUGAAAAAUUUAGAAGUGUCAAAUUGUCCCCAAAUCUCAUGCUUCAUUGUACAAGCUCAGCUCAUAGAGGUAUUUAGAUUGUUCGCAUUUUAUAUAUGGAUUUUGGCACUAUAGCAAAUCAGUAAAUCGAUAUGUUGCUUAGUUUAUGUGAUAAUUCAUUCCUAUUUUAUACAUAGUUUGAAAAUGAAUUCCAUUGUUCACUCUUUAAAUAAAAAUGUAUCAAGCAAUGGCCUUUUGUGUUUAAUUAAUUUGGAAGAUAUUUUAGGGGUUUAGAUUUUAAAAAUAUAUCCUUUAAAAAAAAUCAAAGAUACAUGUAGCAUUGAGAUUAGAGAAGUAGUAUUUUCUAUUACUUGGAAUAUGUAAAAUUAUGAAGACUUAUGGGUAACAUUUACUCUAGUGUGUUUUUAUGACAUUUAUUAGGAUUUCUAUGUAUGCAGGAAUUGGUUCUUAGUAACGUGGGAAAUAGCCGCCAAUUAUGCAACACUGAUGUUCCUGUAUUGAAUGAAGGCUGUAUAGUAGUUGGGAAUCAUGAAGAAGUAUUUCAAGUUCAAGGCGGGUACUCGUUCUCAAGCAUAAAAAAAUUGAAAUUGAGGAAUUUAUUUGAAGCACGGGUUAUAUGGAACGAUUUUGCUCAAGUUGCAACCCUUGAGAACCUUACAACUCUAACACUGAGUGAUUGCAAGAAGCUAAGAUAUAUUUUUUCACCUAUGAUGGCUCGCAGUUUAUCACAUUUGAAGGAUCUUUCCAUCGAGGGGUGUGAGGAAAUAGAACGACUCAUUUUAGACAAGGAUCAAGUUUCUUCAUCAUCAUCAAAUGGUGAUACUAGCCUCCAACCUAUGAGCUUUCCAAAUUUGACUGAGAUUGUUGUUAUAGAUUGUAAAAAUUUGAGCAGUCUCUUUCCUUUUGGAUUUGUUCCUGUUCUUCCAAUGCUUGAAAGUCUCAGAGUUGAAAGGAAUUCUAAAUUGGAACAAGUAUUCGAAUUAGAAGAAAAAGUGGAAGUGGUAGCUAAAGAGAAGAUGAUAUUUGAUAACUUAAAAAGGUUAUUACUUGAAGAACUACCUGGCCUCAUUCAGUUUUGUCCCAAAGGAUAUCAUUCUGUAUUCCCAAAAAUGAUGCAGUUGAAAGUAAGAGAUUGCCCUAAGUUGACUACUGGUUUCUUCAUUGAUUCACAGGAAUUUGUACAUUGCAAAACAAAGGUAUAUAUCCUACAACCCUUUAUUCCUACUUUAUUCUAUGUAAUUAUAACAAUUACAACUGAAGGCAUAACAUGCAAAAUUUUUAAUUAAAUUCCUUAAGUGUAUAUGCGUUUCAUAUUUUUUUCCUUGAUGACAUGAGAUUAAAGUUUUAGUUAUAAUUGUUUCUUUAAUUGAUUUCUAAGGUACCUCAGUUGGUUGAGCAAGAUGCGGUUGAAGAGUCUACCACUAUUCGAAAUGCAAUUUUCAAUGAGAAUAUAUAUUGGAGCCGACUUUGGGGUGAGAGUCAACUACCACACAUUGCAUGAAAGAAUGGAUGGUUUUAGGGCAGCCUUCAAAGCCAUGUUACAUCAGUAGGUAGAGC
rnacentral:lncRNA from 1 species